GCUUAACACAUGCAAGUCGAGGGGCAGCAUGGUCUUAGCUUGCUAAGGCUGAUGGCGACCGGCGCACGGGUGAGUAACACGUAUCCAACCUGCCGUCUACUCUUGGCCAGCCUUCUGAAAGGAAGAUUAAUCCAGGAUGGGAUCAUGAGUUCACAUGUCCGCAUGAUUAAAGGUAUUUUCCGGUAGACGAUGGGGAUGCGUUCCAUUAGAUAGUAGGCGGGGUAACGGCCCACCUAGUCAACGAUGGAUAGGGGUUCUGAGAGGAAGGUCCCCCACAUUGGAACUGAGACACGGUCCAAACUCCUACGGGAGGCAGCAGUGAGGAAUAUUGGUCAAUGGGCGAUGGCCUGAACCAGCCAAGUAGCGUGAAGGAUGACUGCCCUAUGGGUUGUAAACUUCUUUUAUAAAGGAAUAAAGUCGGGUAUGCAUACCCGUUUGCAUGUACUUUAUGAAUAAGGAUCGGCUAACUCCGUGCCAGCAGCCGCGGUAAUACGGAGGAUCCGAGCGUUAUCCGGAUUUAUUGGGUUUAAAGGGAGCGUAGAUGGAUGUUUAAGUCAGCGGUGAAAGUUUGUGGCUCAACCAUAAAAUUGCCGUUGAAACUGGGUUACUUGAGUGUGUUUGAGGUAGGCGGAAUGCGUGGUGUAGCGGUGAAAUGCAUAGAUAUCACGCAGAACUCCGAUUGCGAAGGCAGCCUGCUAAGCUGC
rnacentral:rRNA from 1 species